ensembl:lncRNA
UGCAAACUCCAAAGCACUUGCAAACUCCAAAACACAACGGAAGUGCUCCAGGACGCUAGGGGCAGUGUUGAGCUUUUGUUACCUAGUAACUACACAAGCCAUGAAGUACCAAUGACCGGAUUUGGGCUGUAGGCCGCAUUUUAAGGCCGAUUACAUCACAGCGACACGACGAAGGCUGUCCCAAUUCAAAGGCUGCUCCAAAUGCGGCCCUCAAAUGCGUCCUUAAUUUCCCUGAAUUUUAAGGAUGGGUCGGUGUAGCCUUCAUGGCCCAACAUACCCCAGAUUUCAUAGCGCGGCGGUGGUGUGGAUAAUUUUGCCGAAAAAACGGCGGAAGCCGAGCGGCCGAAGAGUAAACUUUCAGAACUUAUCACACAUUUGAUUUCCUUGUGUGACAACUGCAAGUGUCCAGAGUGAGGACAGACUGAGGGACCCACUGCUGCACAUCAUCUGUGAGCCUUUGCACCCCUGAUGAUCCACCAGGACAAACUCAGCCGUGUGUGAGGAAGAGGAGGAGGAAGAGCCAGCAGCAGCUGACAGAUGGAGAGAAUAGACAGACUGUUCCCUGUUUGUGAAGGACUGGUAGAAAAGUUUAACAUAACUAAUGUCUGUCCUGAAUCAGUCUUAUUAGAUCAACACAGCCCUGCCCUCCAGCACUAUCAGCAGCAGGAGCAGCAGCAACCCCUCAACAGCAACAUUUUACCCAUCAGUGUCUCCUGAGUCUGACCCAGGUUAGGGGUUCAUGUCAGAGCUGGAGGAUGAGACCAACAUGGAGCUGGAGCUGGAGCAGAGCACGCCACACUCACCAAAUCUCCCUCCUUCACCUCCAGUGUGGAUGGAAUCAGAGUCGGUGAAGGAGGAUCUUGUGGUGGGAAGAAAUAUUUUCAUCAGUCAGUAAAGAAAUAAG